rnacentral:rRNA from 1 species
UGGGGAAUAUUGGGCAAUGGGCGAAAGCCUGACCCAGCGACGCCGCGUGGGUGAUGAAGGCCUUCGGGUUGUAAAGCCCUUUCGUGCGGAACGAACAGUCUCGCGACUAAUACUCGCGGGAUUUGACGGUACCGCAGGAAGAAGCACCGGCUAACUCCGUGCCAGCAGCCGCGGUAAUACGGCGGGUGCAAGCGUUGUUCGGAAUUACUGGGCGUAAAGGGCGCGCAGGCGGUUGUGCAAGUCAGUUGUGAAAUCCCCCGGCUUAACCGGGAAACUGCAUCUGAAACUGCAUGACUAGAGUACAGAAGAGGGAAACGGAAUUCCCGGUGUAGAGGUGAAAUUCGUAGAUAUCGGGAGGAACACCAGUGGCGAAGGCGGUUUCCUGGUCUGAUACUGACGCUGAGGCGCGAAAGCGUGGGGAGCAAACAG